GAUGAACGCUGGCGGCGUGCCUAACACAUGCAAGUCGAACGGAGUCCAGCCUUUAAGACCUUCGGGUCAAAGAGGGGAAGACUGAGUGGCGGACGGGUGAGUAACACGUGGGCAACCUGGCUCAUAGAGGGGGAUAACAGAGAGAAAUUUCUGCUAAUACCGCAUACGCACACCCUGCCGCAUGGCAGAGGGUGAAAAGAGAAUCGCUAUGAGAUGGACCCGCGUCUGAUUAGCCAGUUGGCAGGGUAAGAGCCUACCAAAGCGACGAUCAGUAGCCGAUCUGAGAGGAUGAACGGCCACAUUGGGACUGAGACACGGCCCAAACUCCUACGGGAGGCAGCAGUGGGGGAUAUUGCACAAUGGGGGGAACCCUGAUGCAGCGACGCCGCGUGAGUGAAGAAGUAUUUCGGUAUGUAAAGCUCUAUCAGCAGGGAAGAUAAUGACAGUACCUGAAUAAGAAGCCCCGGCUAACUACGUG
rnacentral:rRNA from 1 species